GCCAGCUCAUUUAGUUGAAACCUAUGUGAAUUGUGAAACAUUCCGACUUCAAAGCCCUAUAAACCCUUGCACCGACCGGUACCUUUUCCUUGAUCGCACAACUGUACCAAUUUCGCCCCAGCAUUCGUAAGCGACGGGAUCUUAUCACCUUCUUCCCAACUUGCAUUUGCUAAAGUGGAUCCACGUUCCUGUGAAUCGGUCUAUUUCUUCCGCAAUAGUCCCUCAUUCCUCCGAUUUUUCUUAAUACAUGAUUGCAGUCCAAUUCACCGUUUCUCUUCUCCGAGUUACACAAUGUUAGAUAAUUUAUGUGAAGAGUUGAUGGUUGAAAUCUUGACAAGACUACCUCCCAAAUGACUCAUCCGAGUUAGAUCAGUCUCCAAAUCAUUACGUUGUUGCGUCGACAGCCCAAGUUUCAUCCGCAAGCACACUUGUCGAUCCCCACAAAGACUCGUCUUGAUACAUGUACUUUAUAAUAAAUACCUACAAGAAAAUGGCGAUGCCCUCUUUUGUACGUUACACGCACAAGACCAAUUGCCAUUGCCAUUGUGUGGAGGAUACAUUGGUAUAACACCACUCCAGUAUCCACGCAGAAAGGCCAGUCUUAUUGGUUUCUGUAAUGGAAUUUUUCUUCUGUUUGGUUAUGAAAAUGGUGUAAUUAGUCUAUGGAACCCUUCAAUUAACGCCUUCUGUAAUGGAAUUUUUCUUCUGAUGAUAACAAGGUUGUGAGUAUUCCUGCAAAUGGAAAUACAAGAAUUCUAGAAAGUUCAUUUGUUCCGAGUUUACAGUCCUAAGACAGGGGCACUAUCAACACUAAUGGAGUUCAAUCAUACUUCCGCCUUAUUGGACAUGGAUACGUAUGUCGAAACCCUUGAAUUGCUUCACAUGGGGACUGCUUGCCAGGAGGCAAACGCAGGCUACUUCUUCACUCAAAUGAAAAUAUCAAAUAAAUUAUUAACAGACACAUUAUUGCAUCAUUUGUCAUAGUUACUUUUGGAAUGAUCCUUAUUAGUGAACACAUUAUUGCAUCUUAUAUAUUACUGUCUUGGGGUAAUCUAAAAUAGAUAUUAUAUUUCCAUAA